rnacentral:misc_RNA from 1 species
GUGAAUCAUCGAAUUUUUGAACGCAAAUUGCGCUUUCUGGUAUUCCGGAAAGUAUGCCUGUUUGAGGGUCAGUAAAAUAAAAAUCGGUGUUGUUGCUGCCUUUCUGGGUGGCGCGUCGGAAGUGGGUCGUUUUACUUUUGGUUAAGUGACUUAAAAUUUUGGCAUGAUUUUCGAACGUAUUUAAAUCGUUUACGUACGUUUGAUAUUUC